rnacentral:rRNA from 1 species
CAGCAGCCGCGGUAAUACGUAGGUCCCGAGCGUUGUCCGGAUUUAUUGGGCGUAAGGGGAGCGCAGGCGGUUUAGUAAGUCUGAAGUUAAAGGCAUUGGCUCAACCAAUGUAUGCUUUGGAAACUGUUAGACUUGAGUGCAGAAGGGGAGAGUGGAAUUCCAUGUGUAGCGGUGAAAUGCGUAGAUGUAUGGAGGAACACCGGUGGCGAAAGCGGCUCUCUGGUCUGUCACUGACGCUGAGGCUCGAAAGCGUGGGUAGCGAACAGGAUUAGAUACCCCAGUAGUCCCUGUCUCUUAUACA